CUGCUAUACAUGCAAGUCGAACGCACAGCGAAAGGUGCUUGCACCUUUCAAGUGAGUGGCGAACGGGUGAGUAACACGUGGACAACCUGCCUCAAGGCUGGGGAUAACAUUUGGAAACAGAUGCUAAUACCGAAUAAAACUUAGUGUCGCAUGACACAAAGUUAAAAGGCGCUUCGGCGUCACCUAGAGAUGGAUCCGCGGUGCAUUAGUUAGUUGGUGGGGUAAAGGCCUACCAAGACAAUGAUGCAUAGCCGAGUUGAGAGACUGAUCGGCCACAUUGGGACUGAGACACGGCCCAAACUCCUACGGGAGGCUGCAGUAGGGAAUCUUCCACAAUGGGCGAAAGCCUGAUGGAGCAACGCCGCGUGUGUGAUGAAGGCUUUCGGGUCGUAAAGCACUGUUGUAUGGGAAGAACAGCUAGAAUAGGAAAUGAUUUUAGUUUGACGGUACCAUACCAGAAAGGGACGGCUAAAUACGUGCCAGCAGCCGCGGUAAUACGUAUGUCCCGAGCGUUAUCCGGAUUUAUUGGGCGUAAAGCGAGCGCAGACGGUUUAUUAAGUCUGAUGUGAAAGCCCGGAGCUCAACUCCGGAAUGGCAUUGGAAACUGGUUAACUUGAGUGCAGUAGAGGUAAGUGGAACUCCAUGUGUAGCGGUGGAAUGCGUAGAUAUAUGGAAGAACACCAGUGGCGAAGGCGGCUUACUGGACUGCAACUGACGUUGAGGCUCGAAAGUGUGGGUAGCAAACAGGAUUAGAUACCCUGGUAGUCCACACCGUAAACGAUGAACACUAGGUGUUAGGAGGUUUCCGCCUCUUAGUGCCGAAGCUAACGCAUUAAGUGUUCCGCCUGGGGAGUACGACCGCAAGGUUGAAACUCAAAGGAAUUGACGGGGACCCGCACAAGCGGUGGAGCAUGUGGUUUAAUUCGAAGCAACGCGAAGAACCUUACCAGGUCUUGACAUCCUUUGAAGCUUUAGAGAUAGAAGUGUUCUCUUCGGAGACAAAGUGACAGGUGGUGCAUGGUCGUCGUCA
rnacentral:rRNA from 1 species